CGGGUAGCGGAACACGUACGCAACCUUCCUUUAACUGGAGAAUAGCCCCUCGAAAGAGGGAUUAAUACUCCGUAACAUGAUGAUAAGGCAUCUUAUUAUUAUUAUAGCUCCGGCGGUUAGAGAUGGGCGUGCGCCUGAUUAGGUAGUUGGCGGGGUAACGGCCCACCAAGCCUGCGAUCGGUAACUGGUGUGAGAGCACGACCAGUCACACGGGCACUGAGACACGGGCCCG
rnacentral:rRNA from 1 species